rnacentral:rRNA from 1 species
GACGAACGCUGGCGGCGUGCCUAAUACAUGCAAGUAGAACGCACAGUUUAUACCGUAGCUUGCUACACCAUAGACUGUGAGUUGCGAACGGGUGAGUAACGCGUAGGUAACCUGCCUGGUAGCGGGGGAUAACUAUUGGAAACGAUAGCUAAUACCGCAUAAUAUUAAUUAUUGCAUGAUAAUUAAUUUAAAGGUGCAAUUGCACCACUACCAGAUGGACCUGCGCUGUAUUAGCUAGUAGGUGAGGUAACGGCUCACCUAGGCGACGAUACAUAGCCGACCUGAGAGGGUGAUCGGCCACACUGGGACUGAGACACGGCCCAGACUCCUACGGGAGGCGGCAGUAGGGAAUCUUCGGCAAUGGACGAAAGUCUGACCGAGCAACGCCGCGUGAGUGAAGAAGGUUUUCGGAUCGUAAAGCUCUGUUGUAAGAGAAGAACGGGUGUGAGAGUGGAAAGUUCACACUGUGACGGUAUCUUACCAGAAAGGGACGGCUAACUACGUG